GGACGAACGCUGGCGGCGUGCUUAAACAUGCAAGUCGAGCGAUCGACCGGUGAGGGGUAACCCGAUCCGGCACGGAGCGGCGAACGGGUGAGUAACACGUGGGCAACCUGCCCCAGGCUCUGGAAUAACCCCGGGAAACCGGGGCUAAUGCCGGAUACUCUCGGGCUCUCGCAUGGGAGCUCGAGGAAAGAACUUCGGCCUGGGAUGGGCCCGCGGCCUAUCAGCUUGUUGGUGGGGUAACGGCCUACCAAGGCGACGACGGGUAGCUGGCGUGAGAGCGUGGCCAGCCACACUGGGACUGAGACACGGCCCAGACUCCUACGGGAGGCAGCAGUGGGGAAUCUUGCGCAAUGGGCGAAAGCCUGACGCAGCGACGCCGCGUGGGGGAUGAAGGCCCUCGGGUUGUAAACCCCUUUCGGCAGGGAAGAAGCGAAAGUGACGGUACCUGCAGAAGAAGCCCCGGCUAACUACGUGCCAGCAGCCGCGGUAAGACGUAGGGGGCGAGCGUUGUCCGGAUUUAUUGGGCGUAAAGCGCGCGUAGGCGGUCCGUUAAGUCGGAUGUGAAAAUCCGGGGCUCAACCCCGGACCUGCAUCCGAUACUGGCGGGCUGGAGGCAGGCAGGGGAGAUCGGAAUUCCUGGUGUAGCGGUGAAAUGCGCAGAUAUCAGGAGGAACACCGGUGGCGAAGGCGGAUCUCUGGGCCUGUCCUGACGCUCAGGCGCGAAAGCUAGGGGAGCAAACAGGAUUAGAUACCCUGGUAGUCCUAGCUGUAAACGUUGGGUGCUAGGUGUGGGGCGGCGUUCGACCCGCUCCGUGCCGAAGCUAACGCAUUAAGCACCCCGCCUGGGGAGUACGGCCGCAAGGCUAAAACUCAAAU
rnacentral:rRNA from 1 species